rnacentral:rRNA from 1 species
CCUACGGGUGGCAGCAGUGAGGAAUAUUGGUCAAUGGGCGGGAGCCUGACCCAGCCAAGUCGCGUGAGGGAUGACGGCCCUAUGGGUUGUAAACCUCUUUUUCCGGGGAGCAAAAUGCCGCACGUGAGCGGUUUGGAGAGUACCCGGAGAAAAAGCAUCGGCUAACUCCGUGCCAGCAGCCGCGGUAAUACGGAGGAUGCGAGUGUUAUCCGGAUUUGUUGGGUUUAAAGGGUGCGUAGGAGGACGCUUAAGUCAGCGGUAAAAUUGCGGGGCUCAACCUCGUCGAGCCGUUGAGACUGGGUGCCUUGAGUGGGCGAGAGGUAAGCGGAAUGCGUGGUGUAGCGGUGAAAUGCAUAGAUAUCA